rnacentral:rRNA from 1 species
UACGGGGGGGCAAGCGUUGUUCGGAAUUACUGGGCGUAAAGGGUUUGUAGGUGGCUGAUUAAGUCAGACGUGAAAUCCCUCAGCUUAACUGGGGAACUGCGUCUGAUACUGGUUAGCUUGAGUGCAGGAGAGGAACGCGGAAUUCCAGGUGUAGCGGUGAAAUGCGUAGAUAUCUGGAGGAACACCGGUGGCGAAGGCGGCGUUCUGGACUGCAACUGACACUGAAAAACGAAAGCCAGGGGAGCAAACGGG